UGACAGUGAAGAUAAUUGACUCAGACAGAACACAAGGAAAGUUCAUCAUCCUUCGCCUUCGUGACAGGCUCUGUUUGGGAUUGCCCAGGUAUUCCUCCUCGGGAGAAGGCGAUGCUCUUUCGUUCCACAGCGGAUCUGCGGAAAGCUGCAGCAGUUCUAGUCCUGGGGAGGUCCCAUGGUGCUUCUCCCUCUCUCCCUCUCGAAAGCGUCGCCCGUGGAAAAACGAGCAGCAAAGGAAAAUUCUGAACCGCCAAGAGACCCACUUUGCCUAACAGCAGUACCGGUCGGGCAUCUUUCUAGCAGCUGGCACCUUCCCCUUCUUGCAGUCUGCUCCAUUCUCACCUGUCUGCCCAGCCCACCGUUUAGUUUGCAAGCUGCUUGGCCCAGGGAACCAACUUCGUGUUUCCUCUGAAGCCCUCGGUAUGUUCACGGGCCCUAUAAAAUCAUCGUGAUGCUGCAUCAAAGCAAGCGUUCAGCCAGAGAAAC